rnacentral:rRNA from 1 species
UACGGAGGGUGCAAGCGUUAUCCGGAUUUAUUGGGUUUAAAGGGUCCGUAGGCGGAUCUGUAAGUCAGCGGUGAAAUCUCACAGCUUAACUGUGAAACUGCCAUUGAUACUGCAGGUCUUGAGUAAAGUAGAAGUGGCUGGAAUAAGUAGUGUAGCGGUGAAAUGCAUAGAUAUUACUUAGAACACCAAUUGCGAAGGCAGGUCACUAUGUUUUAACUGACGCUGAUGGACGAAAGCGUGGGGAGCGAACAGG